GUGAUGGUUGCGAUGUGUUGUGUGAUGGUUGUGAUGUGUUGUGUGAUGUUGUGAUGUGUUGUGUGAUGUUGCGAUGUGUUGUGUGAUGGUUGCGAUGUGUUGUGUGGUGGUUGCAAUGUGUUGUGUGAUGGUUGUGAUGUGUUGUGUGAUGUUGUGAUGUGUUGUGUGAUGGUUGCAAUGUGUUGUGUGGUGGUUGUGAUGUGUUGUGUGAUGGUUGCGAUGUGUUGUGUGGUGGUUGUGAUGUGUUGUGUGAUGUUGUGAUGUGUUGUGUGAUGUUGCGAUGUGUUGUGUGAUGGUUGCGAUGUGUUGUGUGAUGGUUGCGAUGUGUUGUGUGAUGGUUGCGAUGUGUUGUGUGAUGGUUGUGAUGUGUUGUGUGAUGGUUGUGAUGUGUUGUGUGAUGGUUGCGAUGUGUUGUGUGAUGUUGUGAUGUGUUGUGUAAUGGUUGCGAUGUGUUGUGUGAUGGUUGCGAUGUGUUGUGUGAUGGUGUGGGGGUGGACGGGCAUCACCUUACAGAAUGAUAGAAUUAUUGUGGGUUCAAUCUUGAAGAAAAAGACUCGACAUAGGACACAACAAAACAACAGCCGACUGCACAAGACUGUUCCUUGUUUGUUUGUAUUUUUAUUGGAGUUGUUUUGAAUAACUUGCCCAGACAAUGCAGUUGAAAAUGAGCCGGUUGGCUAAAACCGUCACUUUUACUGAAACGUUGAUUAACCUAGAGUCUAAAGCCAGGGGAGGGGGGGGUUCUACUAAGCUAUAAGGAAUUGUUUAAGAAGGUCAUACAAAGGAUCAAUUAGCUAUUGUAUUUUAUAUUUUAAGACCCCUUGAAGGAUUCCAGAAAUAUACGUAAAAAAACAUAUUUUGGGCCUUACUGCUAAUGGCCCAUACAAACACAUUGAAUAACAGAUUCACUAUAUGGAACAACAGAUAGUCUCCCCCAAAAUAAUCUAAAGGAAGUUUGUGUCUGUCAUAAAUCUGAGAGAUAUAAGAAAGAUCAGGAAACAUUUUUAUUUGAUUUUACAUGUACUUAACCAUUUUUUUUAGCACUAAACAGUCUCCAUAUAGACUUCCAUAAAUGUUUUCAACUGGUACCAGGGACCAUCAGAUGAGUCUUGUGAGGACAAUGGGCGUCUUAGAGCAAAACAACCUACAUGUAUGUAUUUGUGAGAUGUGGAAGUGUGACAUGGAUUGAGAUGCAUCUACAGAAAAUAAUUAUUGGGUAGGGUGACUGGGUUAUUGGGUAGGGUAACUAACUGGGUUAGUGGGUAGGGUAACAGGGUUAGUGGGUAGGGUAACUAACUGGGUUAGUGGGUAGGGUAACAGGGUUAGUGGGUAGGGUAACUAACUGGGUUAUUGGGUAGGGUAACUAACUGGGUUAGUGGGUAGGGUAACUAACUGGGUUAGUGGGUAGGGUAACUAACUGGGUUAUUGGGUAGGGUAACUAACUGGGUUAGUGGGUAGGGUAACUAACUGGGUUAGUGGGUAGGGUAACUAACUGGGUUAUUGGGUAGGGUGACUGGGUUAGUGGGGUAACUAACUGGGUUAGUGGGUAGGGUAACUAACUGGGUUAUUGGGUAGGGUGACUGGGUUAGUGGGUAGGGUAACUAACUGGGUUAUUGGGUAGGGUGACUGGGUUAGUGGGUAGGGUAACUAACUGGGUUAGUGGGUAGGGUAACAGGGUUAGUGGGUAGGGUAACUAACUGGGUUAUUGGGUAGGGUAACUAACUGGGUUAGUGGGUAGGGUAACUAACUGGGUUAGUGGGUAGGGUAACUAACUGGGUUAUUGGGUAGGGUGACUGGGUUAGUGGGUAGGGUAACUAACUGGGUUAUUGGGUAGGGUAACUAACUGGGUUAGUGGGUAGGGUGACUGGGUUAUUGGGUAGGGUGACUGGGUUAGUGGGUAGGGUGACUGGGUUAUUGGGUAGGGUGACUGGGUUAGUGGGUAGGGUGACUGGGUUAGUGGGUAGGGUAACUAACUGGGUUAGUGGGUAGGGUAACUGGGUUAGUGGGUAGGGUAACUAACUGGGUUAUUGGGUAGGGUAACUAACUGGGUUAGUGGGUAGGGUAACUAACUGGGUUAUUGGGUAGGGUGACUGGGUUAUUGGGUAGGGUGACUGGGUUAGUGGGUAGGGUGACUGGGUUAUUGGGUAGGGUGACUGGGUUAUUGGGUAGGGUGACUGGGUUAGUGGGUAGGGUGAGAUUGAGUGUCUUCAGACUUUUUGACAAGAUGCAGACUGUUAGAAUCUAGAUUCAGGCUCAUGGAUUUCAAGAUUAAUCCAUGUCAACUGCAUAUCAACGUGAACCUAGCCCGUAGUAGGAAUGUGUUGGAGAGGGGUGUGAUCACAGAAAUACCAAGCUGAAACACACUGCAACACAGAGACAGUGAAACAGGACAGUGAAAGAGACCGAAGCAUUAGGCUCCCCAGUUAAAGAUGCCCUGUGCAGUACAUUUCAGGCUGAACCAUUCUCCCUUGGUCACAAUUUGUUUGGCACAUCGUAUUCCUAAUACUUUUAACACUCAGCCUUUAGAAUGAUUACGUUGUUAUGGGUACAGUAGGACAUCAGAGAGUUAUUAUUUUUCUUUUUGUGUACUUUAAUAACAAGACGUGUCUUUAUUUUGGUGAGGUCUUAAAACAUCUCAUAGCCUUUAUGUUCUAGAGACAGUGAGCCAACCACUGAACUGGAGAGCAACCUGCACACUGAAGACUAUGGCAGCGUCUGAAAUGGAGCCCUCUGCCCUAUAUAGUGCACUACUAUAGACCAGAGCCCUAUUCGCUAUAUAGUGCACUACUAUAGACCAGAGCCCUAUUCCCUAUAUAGUGCGCAACUUUUGACAUAGAGCUCUGGUCAAUAGUAGUGCGCUAUAUAGGGAAUAGGGUUCCAUUUGUUGCUUAGCUAAACCUACAAUAUCUCUUCAGGGUCUACAUUUUAUUUGGCAAGCCUCCAGUUAAAUUAAAAGCAGAGGAAGCUCCUCUUCUACCAUGUCUACAAGGAAUGGGGAUACUCCCAGAUCAGAGGAAGCUCCUCUUCUACCA
ensembl:lncRNA